UGCCUCAGCCUCCUGAGUAGCUGGGACCACAGGCACGCGCCACCACGCCCAGCUAAUUUUGUAUUUUUAGUAAAGAUGGGGUUUCUCCAUGUUGGUCAGGCUGGUCUUGCACUCCUGACCUCAGGUGAUCCGCCCACCUCGGCCUCCCAAAGUACUGGGAUUACAGGCGUGAGCCAACGUGCCUGGCCAUACAGUUCAAUUUUUUCACUAGUAUCUUCUAUCAGCCAUUGGCAAACUACAGCUCUGGGGACAAAUUUAGACCUUUACCUGUUUUUGUAAAUAAUGUUUUAUGGGAACCCCGUCACACCCAUUCAUCUUCAUACCAUCUACAUUGGCCCCCAAAGCCUAAGAUAUUUACCAUCUGGUCCUUUACAGAAAGUGUUUGCCAACCCCUGGCCUACAUCAUGUUAGUACUUUUGUAUCUCUGUACAUAUGAUAACGUUCUCGCCUUUACUUCAGUAUAUGUAUCUUUUCUCUCUAACAAGAUUUCAGCACCUUGUAGGCUUGAAUGCUAUUCAGAACUUCUCUGUGAUGCCAUCCAAACUUAUCCAGAAUUGGUCAAUUUGUACCUAAAUAAUACUUCUGUACUGACUGCAGUUUCAGUAUAUAACUGAUUAUGUUUACCAGCUCAUUUCCCCUCUAGAUCACCCAGAAACCAUAUUCCUUAAAUGCCAAGGAGCUGGGACACAGGCUGCACAUACAGGCACUUGAUAAAUGUUUGCUGAAUGAAUACUUCCCUUGUACCAUAAUGGUGAGCACAGCACGAAAGUGUCCCAUGAAGCCUUGUUAGUGGAAGAAAAUGAAAAUGCUGUAAAGAGAAGUGAGGAUGAGGCCAAGUGCAGUGGCUCACGCCUGUAAUCCCAACACUUUGGGAGGCCAAGGCAGGAGGAUCACUUGAGCCCAGGAAUUCAAGACCAGCCUGGGCAACAUAGCAAGACCCCGUCUCUAAACAAAUUUUAAAAACAAAGAGAGAAAUGAGGAUGAAUGGAAACUAACCUUAAAAUCCAUAUUAAGAAUUACUUCUCAGGCCGGGUGCGGUGGCUCACACCUGUAAUCCUACCACUUUGGGAGGCUAAGGUGAGCAGAUCACUUGAGGCCAGGAAUUUGAGACCAGCCUGGCCAACAUGGUAAAACUCUGUCUCAACUAAAAAUACAAAAAUUAGCCAGGCUUGGUGGCACAUGCCUGUAAUCCCAGCUACUUGGGAGGCUGAGGCACAAAAAUCACUUUGAGCCCAGAUGGUAGAGGUGGCAGUGAGCCAAGAUCGUGCCAUUGUACUCCAGUCUGGGUGACAGAGGGAAACUGUCUACAAAAAAAAAAAAAAAAAAAAAAAAUUACUUCUCUAGCUCAUAAGAUGGGGAGAAUUUAAGAACAUGGGGCUUAUCAACAAAGGGAAGCCCAGUCAUGUUCAGGGUGACAGUAUUGUCUAAUGAUAAUCAGAUUUAGCAAUGUCAGUUCUACCAAAUGGCCACGCCAGAAAAAUGCUGACUUUGCAGUAGCAGGACUCUUCAGUCUAUAAGACAUUUUUGGGCGGGUGCAGUGGCUCACACCUGUAAUCCCAGCACCUUGGGAGGCCGAGAUGGGCAGAUCACAAGGUCAGGAGAUUGAGACCAUCCUGGCUAACACAGUGAAACCCCGUCUCUACUAAAAAUACAAAAAAUUAGCUGGGUAUGGAGGCGGGCGCCUGUAGUCCCAGCUACUCGGGAGGCUGAGGCAGGAGAAUGGCACAAACCUGGGAGGUGGAGCUUGCAGUGAGCCGAGAUCACGCCACUGCACUCCAGCCUGGAUGACAGAGCAAGACUCUGUCUCAAAAAAAA
rnacentral:lncRNA from 1 species